CUGAUUUUUGCAUGAGAUCCCUUGUUUCUUGUCAGGACGAGUACUUCUGUGGGAAAGGCAGGAGCUGAAGGAAAGCACGUGUGGCUGGAGGAGCGUGAGCAGGGCGGAGGAGCCGGAGACACUGAGUAUAUACGUUAGUGGACCAUCCUCCUCCAAAGAUGUGGUAGCAGGAAGGAAUAAUUGCUAAUCGACAGUAAAUUGGAGUUAUGGAUCCUCUUAAAUCAAACCACAAUGACAUACACAACCUUGAAAGGUUUCUGUAAAUUAUAGCAUUGUAGGGAGGAAACACUUUUACUGUGGGGUUUUAUAUGUGAUUUAUUUACCUUCUCA